rnacentral:rRNA from 1 species
AUGAGUAAUGCCACUUUCUCUAUCUGUUCGUGGAACGUACGUGGCCUGGGAGACGACGCCAAAUGCUCUGACGUUCUUUCCGAACUGAUCUCGAUCAAGCCUCACAUUGCAUUAUUACAAGAGUCUAAACUCGAUGGUUUCUCGGAUACAAAGCUACGAUCCUUCAUGCCCACGCAGUUAGACCAUAUUUUCUCCCUACCUGCCGUCGGAACGGCGGGUGGCACCAUCUCCGCCGUCAAAUCUGCCUCGUUCCAAGUAAUCUCUUACAACCACCUCACCUUCUCGUCAACCUUGAUUUUGCGAUCCACGACAACUGACCGUAACAUAGCGAUCACUAAUAUCUAUGCCCCCUCUACCCGUGCCCUCAAACAAUCUUUCCUCGAUGAGUUACUUGCUAUCUCACAACCAGACGACUCACCUUGGCUCUUAGUGGGCGAUUUCAACCUUCUCCGUUACCCCUCUGACAAAAAUAAUGACGCGUUUAGACAUUCCGAAGCCAAUGCAUUUAACCAAACCCUUGAUGAUCUCGCCCUCAUCGAACUACCACUUCUAGACCGCCAAUAUACUUGGUCCAAUAAUCGAGCAACACCCACCCUAGAACGUAUCGAUCGCGCCUUCUUCAACCUAGCAUGGGCCGACGCCUUCCCAAACUCCUCCCUCUCCUCCCUCACACGCUUCACAUCUGACCAU